GUGUUCACUUUGGAAACACAUAUACUAAAAUUGGAAUGCUUCAGAGAAAAUUAGCAUGAGCCCUGUGCAAAGAUGAAAUGCACAUUCAUGAAGCAUCUCAUAUUUAC
ensembl:snRNA U6 U6 spliceosomal RNA